UACGGGGGGGGCAAGCGUUGUUCGGAAUUACUGGGCGUAAAGGGCUCGUAGGCGGCCAACUAAGUCAGACGUGAAAUCCCUCGGCUUAACCGGGGAACUGCGUCUGAUACUGGAUGGCUUGAGUGUGGGAGAGGGAUGCGGAAUUCCAGGUGUAGCGGUGAAAUGCGUAGAUAUCUGGAGGAACACCGGUGGCGAAGGCGGCAUCCUGGACCAUUACUGACGCUGAUGAGCGAAAGCCAGUGGAGCAAACGGG
rnacentral:rRNA from 1 species